UGGCCCUUCGAGAGAGAGGACCCCGGGGAGCUGUCAGCUCCAGAUCCGCUUUCUUCAGGAUCCGCUUCAGCACUCACGCUACUGCCACACCCUGCCCGGCUGCCCCCAGCCAACACCUCAAUGUAAAACACAUUCUGUGGAUACUGAUGCAGAGGCUAUACGGAUGGAGAACAAACAGGGUUCUUCUAAGACACUGACGCAUUAUCUACGAAGAUAAUGGAACCAGAAGGCUAAUCAACCUUGCCAUGCUGCCGUAGACACUGAGGAUGAAUUUUUAUAAGAGGAUAGAGUGGGAGGAUGGAGAAAAAGGAAGUGCCUGCUCCAUCCCCUGAGUGCCAUCUGCUGUGGAGGGCACAGACAGUGCCCGCCCAGAGAGCUCUCUGCCCACAGAUACGCCCACACACCGCACCACUGACAGCUGUGGGAAGGCAACACCAGAGCUGAGAAAACACGGAGCUGGCUUUCAGACUGCACAUAUUGGUCAUCAGAAGAUUCUAAAAGAAAAGAAGUUCCAACAGAGAAGUGUCAAGAGAGGUAGGGAUGAGAGCAAUAUAGAAGCCAUAAACUUUGAGAAACCAG
rnacentral:lncRNA from 1 species